rnacentral:rRNA from 1 species
UAAGACGUAGGGCGCGAGCGUUGUCCGGAUUUAUUGGGCGUAAAGAGCUCGUAGGCGGCUUGUCGCGUCGACUGUGAAAACCCGCGGCUCAACUGCGGGCCUGCAGCCGAUACGGGCAGGCUAGAGUUCGGUAGGGGAGACUGGAAUUCCUGGUGUAGCGGUGAAAUGCGCAGAUAUCAGGAGGAACACCGGUGGCGAAGGCGGGUCUCUGGGCCGAUACUGAC